GUGCUCGCUUCAGCAGCACAUGUACUAAAACUGGAAAGAUACAGAGAAGACUUGCAUGUCCCCUUCGCAAGGAUGACACACAAAUUCAUAAAAGGGCCAAUCUGAUA
ensembl:snRNA U6 U6 spliceosomal RNA